UACGUAGGGGGCAAGCGUUGUCCGGAUUUAUUGGGCGUAAAGCGCUCGCAGGUGGUUCGUCGCGUCGUGCGUGAAAGACCCCGGCUCAACUGGGGGAGGUCGUGCGAUACGGGCGAACUGGAGGCCAGUAGGGGGAUGCGGAAUUCCUGGUGUAGCGGUGAAAUGCGUAGAUAUCAGGAGGAACAUCGGUGGUGUAGACGGCUUUCUGGACCGUAACUGACGCUGAGACACGAAAGCGUGGGUAGCAAACAGG
rnacentral:rRNA from 1 species